rnacentral:tRNA from 1 species
CGGAGUGUGGCGCAGCCUGGUAGCGCACCUCGUUCGGGACGAGGGGGUCGCAGGUUCGAAUCCUGACGCUCCGACCA